CACCCAUUCAUUCAUUCAUUUGUUCUUUUGACAGAUACAUAUUGAAGGCAUACCUAAUAGAAGAAACUGUUCUGAAGUCUGGGUAUUCAACAAGAAAGAAAACACAAAUUUUAUGUUCUCAUGGAGCUUAUAUUCAAAUGGAGUGUGGGGGACUUGAAUAAGAAGGCAUCUAAAGUACCUAGUGUUCGCAGAUGCUAAGAUGAGAAGUAGUGCGAGAAAAAGAGAAAGGCUCAUGAGGGAGGGUAUUCCUCAGGGUCUGGUUAGGAAAACACCCAGCAAUUUUAGGAGUAGAAUGUUACAGAGGGAAUGGGUUAACAAGGUAUAGGAGGAACACAAAGGCUGCAAAAGUGAAAAGAGAAUGCAGAGAUAAUACAGAGAUAGUAGCUUCAGAAAGUUGCUGCCACUCCCUCCCAGGGCUGGGGGUACAAAGGCAACAGGAUCAAGUUGUUAGAGCCUAGAAACUUAGUAAAGAUUCUGGUGGCACUGGGAUACAGACCACUGAGGAGGUGGAGAUGGCCCUGCCUGCCAUUGUUUGCGGCUAUGGAACUGAAGUUAAAAGUCCUGGAGCAGCUGGGUGGCUGACCAACUGGGGAUGGUAUCUCUGAGGAACACGCUAAGACUGCUGCAGAAAGUUUGGAACACAUCUGUUUACCGUAACCACCUGCUGAGCUGGCCUGACACCAGCAGGACCAGCAAGCCAACAAAAAGGAAGAAAAUGUUCUCAGAAGCUCACCUACCUCCCAGUCUGCUUCCAGCACCCUAUUGGCAGAGUUUAUUAGGGAGUCAGCAGCAUAGGGGAAAUGCUGUCUACAGAGACCCAGGACCAGCAUUACAAAGUAGAGUGUGAAAGGGAGGGUUGAGACUGAGAAACAGAGCUUCAUAACCAGUGCUGGGAGGCUACUCUUUUAUAUAGGAGGCCCUUCAAGCCUACCCCACCCUGAUUGGGAGAAUGUCUGGGUCAUUUUGCUCUGUGCAUGAAAGUGCUUCAGGAGAAUCAUUCCCCACACCGUGAACUCCUUCAUGGUGUGGGGGAUAUUAUUUAUCUUAUCACAAAAUGUGUAUUAAGUGAAUGAGUGAAAUGAUACCUUUGAUAUAAUGCUUGUAGCAUUAGUGACUUUUUCAGCUUGGGUAAUUCUGAUUGCUAGUGUGUGUAUGUGUGUGUGUGUGUGUAUGUGUGUGUGUGUGUACUUGUUCGACAUUCAAUCUGAUUUUAAUAAAUAUUAACUAGGUGCCCACUAAGUGCAGAGCUCUGCAUCAGAUGCUACAUGAGACCUAAAAGAAUUAAACCUUGUCCCUAAAGGACUUAGAAUAUCGAUUCCUGUGUGUGCCAUCUGGUGCAUAUCACUAUUUUAAAAAGGUUUUUUUUUUUAAUUUCUUGAGGUCUUUUGAAUCCUAUUCUUCUCUGUUUUUAAAGAUAUUAGCGAUGCACGUCUCCUCCUACCCCACUUUAGUCCCCAGCUUUAUCUCUUUUAUGAACAAAAUUAAAUAGAUUUCCUCCCAGAAGGAAUCCUUUGGUAGAAAUUGUAUAAAGAGAGAAAUUAACUCUUUCAGACUCCCAGGGUGCUAUUGCUAAAUGUUCUAUAAAACUCCUUCCUCAUUACUACCUGGAGAGAGACUUGGCAUCCGGAAAAUAGCAUCCAAUAUGUAUUCACUUAUUUUCCUCCUUGUUAUGUGAUGGGGGAACAUGAGUGCAACACACUGAAGAUAAAGAAGGCUAAGGGAUGCUUGUUCAUAAAUAAGAAUAAGAUAAGGGUAUAGGCUGGGGGAUUUUAGUCUCCCAACACACUUUGAAGGUUUGGCUCCUUAGAUAGCCCGAGCAUGGAUUCCUGCCUUCUGCUCCUGCAGAAGGUGAAGGGGGUGGAGGCUGCUGUGACUAGGGCUAUGACACUAACUUUGGCUGUUAAUGGUGGCCUUCCUUAGCCUAUCUCCAAGAAUACGGAUGCUAGUACAAGUCAUGUGCUGUUAACCAAGUAUUUUGCCCCUUUCCUUCUGAAGUGGCACUCUAUUAAACAGUAAUAUUUUCUUCCCUUGUUGCUUAAAAUAAAUGUUUUUAAGGCCUAUGAAUACUUUGGUCAACAUUAGUGGUUUUUCAUACUUCCUUCUCUAGGUUUUUAGGGAGAAAUGCCUACACUGUUCUUUGAAUUGCUUCGUUAUUAUUAUUCCCCAGAUUUUCUCCAUGUAUUAAAGAUCCUAAGAAUUCUAAGCUCAGACUUUUGCCUCUGUAAAUAUAUUUUUUAAAUGGCUGCAUAAUAUUACCCAUGGACAUGAUUCCUAGCCAUAGCUCUACUUUGCAGUCAGUCCAUCCCCAAAAGACCAUCAUAGACCACACACUGAAUGUUCUACAUAGGUUGGGAAAAUCUAAUGUUAAAUAUAAUACAAAGAGACAACCAGUGAUAAAGUUUAAAUCCUGAGUCUCCAAGCACAUUUUCUUCGAGGGAUUCCUUUUUCUUUAGUUUGAGGUAAAAGACUCCAGCAGAAACAACCUCUCUUGACAUCCACAAGCCCUUCUAGUAGUGCUCCUGGGUGUGGGUGUCAUGAAAAUGCAGAGGGUCUCUUACAUGUGGUCAAAAACGUUUCAAAGCAGCUCAGCAGAUGUAUUAGGCUGUAGUCAUUCUCCUCUGCUUAGCAUUUGGUCAAGAUAAGCAUUUCCAGUCAAUGCUGAUUGCAUUUAGCCUGACCAUGUUUUUGUACGUUUCAAUGCUGAUCCUAUUUUCUCCUUUUAAUCGUACAAAUAUAUAACAAUAAAGAAAAUAAUUUUGCUAGCAGUUGAAUUACAAAAUGUGUUCAACACUCCAUUAAUAAAAUCUCUAUCUUGUUCAACAUCUCCAGUAAAUAGCCUUUAUAUAUUUCCUCUUUUCUAUUUGCCAGCUGACAAUAGAAAACAUUAGCUGAGAGUUGAAUGCGGGAAAGCAAAAUAAG
rnacentral:lncRNA from 1 species